rnacentral:rRNA from 1 species
UGGAUCCAGACUUUGAUCAUGGCUCAGGAUGAACGCUAGCUACAGGCUUAACACAUGCAAGUCGAGGGGAAACGACAUCGAAAGCUUGCUUUUGAUGGGCGUCGACCGGCGCACGGGUGAGUAACGCGUAUCCAACCUGCCCACCACUUGGGGAUAACCUUGCGAAAGUAAGACUAAUACCCAAUGAUAUCUCUAGAAGACAUCUGAAAGAGAUUAAAGAUUUAUCGGUGAUGGAUGGGGAUGCGUCUGAUUAGCUUGUUGGCGGGGUAGCGGCCCACCAAGGCAACGAUCAGUAGGGGUUCUGAGAGGAAGGUCCCCCACAUUGGAACUGAGACACGGUCCAAACUCCUACGGGAGGCAGCAGUGAGGAAUAUUGGUCAAUGGACGAGAGUCUGAACCAGCCAAGUAGCGUGCAGGAAGACGGCCCUAUGGGUUGUAAACUGCUUUUAUAAGGGAAUAAAGUGAGAGUCGUGACUCUUUUUGCAUGUACCUUAUGAAUAAGGACCGGCUAAUUCCGUGCCAGCAGCCGCGGUAAUACGGAAGGUCCGGGCGUUAUCCGGAUUUAUUGGGUUUAAAGGGAGCGUAGGCCGGAGAUUAAGCGUGUUGUGAAAUGUAGACGCUCAACGUCUGCACUGCAGCGCGAACUGGUUACCUUGAGUACGCACAAAGUGGGCGGAAUUCGUGGUGUAGCGGUGAAAUGCUUAGAUAACACGAAGAACACCGAUUGCGAAGGCAGCUCACUGGAGCGCAACUGACGCUGAAGCUCGAAAGUGCGGGUAUCGAACAGGAUUAGAUACCCUGGUAGUCCGCACGGUAAACGAUGGAUGCCCGCUGUUGGUCUGAAUAGGUCAGCGGCCAAGCGAAAGCAUUAAGCAUCCCACCUGGGGAGUACGCCGGCAACGGUGCAACUCAAAUGAAUUGACGGAA